UGCCUGGCAGCCAAGGGUGUUGGUCGC
rnacentral:piRNA from 1 species